rnacentral:rRNA from 1 species
CAGUCGCCGCGGGAAUACGAAGGGGGCUAGCGUUGUUCGGAAUUACUGGGCGUAAAGCGCACGUAGGCGGAUAUUUAAGUCAGGGGUGAAAUCCCGCAGCCCAACUGCGGAACUGCCUUUGAUACUGGGUAUCUUGAGUAUGGAAGAGGUUAGUGGAAUUGCGAGUGUAGAGGUGAAAUUCGUAGAUAUUCGCAGGAACACCAGUGGCGAAGGCGGCUAACUGGUCCAUAACUGACGCUGAGGUGCGAAAGCGUGGGGAGCAAACAGGAUUAGAUACCCCCGUAGUCCCUGUCUCUUAUAC